GAGAACUGGAGGGAGGGGCUGGGACAGAUCCCGACGUCCGUGUCCACAGCAGCAGGUGGAGGGAGCCCCCGGGGUGCACACCCGCAGGACACCGCGAACCCGGGCAGCCCUGUACCCACAGUGGGUGCUGCGCCUCAAAAGGCAUCCUGCCAAAUGCCACGACCAGCGGACCCCAGGGACCCCGGGACGUCAUGGGAGUGAAGCAGCCCAGCGGCCAGCGGAAAGGCCAGGUGAUUCCACCUAGAGGGCACCGGGGCAGUGAGACUCAGCGGAGGGGAGGGGGACGGGACUUACCAUCUGGUGACGACAGAGUUCCGGUUUUGCAAGAUGAAGACUUCUGGGGGUAGAUGGUGGUGACUGUUGCACAAAUGUGUCAUUGUACUUAAUGCCCCUGGAGUGUGCACUUUAAAAUGAGGUCACAGUCACAACCCUAGGAACUCAGGAGGCUGAGACAGGAGGACCACAAGUUUGAGGACAGCCUCAGCCACUUUAGCAAGACCCUUUCCCAGGACUCUGGGAUUCCAAGCAUGUACCACCUCGCCCAGCCUGGAGUUGCCCAGGAGUCAGGUCCAGUGCCAGACAGGACGGUUUGGCCAUCACAAGAUUUAAAAAUUAGGAGAUGGCCCAUUAAAAGGGCCAGCCACCCGGGUGCCAUAUUGCUCCAAGGUCACUGUCACCUGGAAGUACACCAGCACUCUUGGGGGGGCCAGUGGUGCCCUGAAGUUCCCCACCCAUGGGCCUGGACCUUCCAACACCUGGAAGAAGUGACAUUGAGGGUCUCUGUCUUCAGUGACAGCCUGGUUGGGGUUUCACGGUGACAAUGUCUUUGGAGACACAGUUCUGGGGGUUUGAUCAUGAGACACACUAAUUCUGGGACCUCUUCUUUCUCAGCUCCUCCCCCCAGACUUUUUAGACCAGUUCCCCCAAAAGUGGGGCCUCACAAGAGGGUCUCAAAACCCCGGCUGCCACCCCACACUUAACUUCCCAACUGAGUUCGCUGAAGUCCCCAGAUGGUGUGGUGGGGGGAGACUGCGCCCGGGCCUGGCUUGGGGGACUUUCCCACGAAGGCUUCCUCCCACCUUAUCUCAAGGCCCUUGGUAAAGCCUUCCUCACCCCCCACUCCCGCCAUGUUCCGUGCCAAUCACAGGCUCCUCCCAGGGCGGUUGCCGCACCAGCUUCUCACAAGCACUUUGCUGUUUCAUAUGACCCUCACCACAGUCCAAGGAGGUCGCCGCUGGAAUCAACCCCAUUUCACAGAGAAGAACCCUAAGGCCCAGCCCACCCAGUGGUGGGAGAGGUCCAGAGUGGCCCCCCGCUGUCACCUGGCCCUUGUUCUCCAAGAAACUUCCAAGUCCUAGGAGGAGAUCAUUGUGGGCCAUGGGGUGCAUUCCUCCUUGAACACAUUCUCUAAAAAUCAAGGUACAACUGUUGAAAGAAUAAAUCCAAACGACCCAGCCGGUGUGGAGCGUGUGUUUUGAAAGUCAGUUAGUGAGACUUAAAACUAGGCCCCUCCCCACACCAUUUAAAAAGUGGGAGAUUGGGGAUGUCCCAUUAGAUCACACAAACACACACACACACACACACACACACACACACUGAACUAACGGACUGUUUUUUAGCAGAGUUUCAGGUUUCCACAGUUGCUCUGUCCCCCACCAACACCUGGCAUUGGUGGGUACGUUGUUACACGGGUGAGCCCGUCCUGAUACCUAAUUGUCAACCAAAGCCACCGUUGGCAUUGAGCUUCUCCUUGCUUUACACCCUCUGUAGCCUUUGGAGGACAGUGACGUGCACCCACCAGCACAGCAUCCUGCACCACAGUCUCGCUGCACCUGCUCGUCCUGCGUUCCCUCCCCACCAACCUGGCAACCAAGGAUUCAUUCACUCGGCCCUAGGGUUGGUUUUUCCAGAAUGCCACCAGGCUGGAAUCAUGGAAUGCAGCCUUUUUUCUUUUUCUUUUUGGUAUCUAGGGUCUGGCCCAUGCCAGGUAAGUGCCCCAGCACU
rnacentral:lncRNA from 1 species